rnacentral:rRNA from 1 species
CGAAUGGGGCAACCCAGCAUACUGAAGGUAUGUUAUCCGUAAGGAAGUUAACCCGCUGAACUGAAACAUCUAAGUAGGCGGAGGAAGAGAAAACAAGAGUGAUUCUGCGAGUAGCGGCGAGCGAAAGUGGAACAGCCCAAACCGGAAGUGUUACGGCACUUUCGGGGUUGUAGGACCACGACAUCUGAUGCAUAACGAACCAGAACCAGCCGGAGAGCUGGACCAUAGAGGGUGAUAGUCCCGUAUGGGUAAGAAAUGUUAUUGGUAGUGGUAUCCUGAGUAGGGCGGGGC